UACGGAGGGUGCAAGCGUUGCUCGGAAUUAUUGGGCGUAAAGGGUAGGUAGGUGGUCUUAUUUGUCUGGGGUGAAAGCCUUGAGCUUAACUCAAGAAGUGCCCCAGAAACGGUGAGACUAGAGUCUUGGAGAGGGUCGUGGAAUUCCCGGUGUAGCGGUGAAAUGCGUAGAGAUCGGGAGGAACACCAGAGGCGAAAGCGGCGACCUGGACAAGCACUGACACUCAACUACGAAAGCGUGGGGAGCAAACAGG
rnacentral:rRNA from 1 species